ACCCCUCAGGAUUUCGUAAGUUUGUCAGAACGCCUUCCAAGCUCCUUGUUCUAGACUCAGCAAGCCUGAACAAGGACUUCAGUUCUCAAGGAGUUAAGAAUUGUUGGGAAGCUGCUGCUCUUGCUUAACUUCCCAAUGUGUUGGGGAGGAGGAGGAGGAGGAGGAGGAGGAGGAGGGGGAGGGGGAAGGUAAAGCUGACCGGGCUCAGCCCGAUGGCUUCUCCAGCUGCAGAGCAUUUUCUGAGCGAAGCUUUUUUCUUUUUUUUUUUUUUUUUCAUGGCCUUUUAUCCUAUUUUUAACUGCGGCCUCCUUCCUUUUCUCAGCCUCCUCCAACACUUCCCCCUCCCCUGUGCUGCGCUGCCUCCCCCGCACGCUCUCGCAGAGAUGAAUGGGCUCCUUCUCACAGGGCACACACAGCUGCUGCUCCUGCCUGCAGGACAGCCAGCCCUUCCCUGGGCUGGCCAGCAUCACCUUGGGCUGGCCAGCAUCACCCUGGGGCGGCCAGCAUCACCCUGGGCUGGCCAGCAUCACCCUGGGGCGGCCAGCAUCACCCUGGGCUGGCCAGCAUCACCCUGGGGCGGCCAGCAUCACCCUGGGCUGGCCAGCAUCACCCUGGGGCGGCCAGCAUCACCCUGGGCUGGCCAGCAUCACCCUGGGGCGGCCAGCAUCACCCUGGGCUGGCCAGCAUCACCCUGGGGCGGCCAGCAUCACCCUGGGCUGGCCAGCAUCACCCUGGGGCGGCCAGCAUCACCCUGGGCUGGCCAGCAUCACCCUGGGCUGGCCAGGAUCACCCUGGGGCAGCCAGGAUCACCCUGGGCUGGCCAGGAUCACUCUGGGGUGGCCAGGAUCACUCUGGGGUGGCCAGGAUCACUCUGGGGCAGCCAGGAUCACCCUGGGCUGGCCAGCAUCACCCUGGGGCGGCCAGCAUCACCCUGGGCUGGCCAGCAUCACCCUGGGGCGGCCAGCAUCACCCUGGGCUGGCCAGCAUCACCCUGGGGCGGCCAGCAUCACCCUGGGCUGGCCAGCAUCACCCUGGGGCGGCCAGCAUCACCCUGGGCUGGCCAGCAUCACCCUGGGGUGGCCAGGAUCACUCUGGGGCAGCCAGCAUCACCCUGGGCAGGCCAGGAUCACUCUGGGCAAGCCAGGAUCAUCCCUGGGCCGGUCAGGAUUACCCCUGGGCUGGUCAGCAUCAUCCCUGGGCCUGCCAGCCCUUCCCUGGGCAAGCCAGAAUCAUCCCUGGGCCAGCCAGGAUCUUCCCUGGGCCUGUCAGGCUCAUCCCUGGGCCACCAGGCCUUCCCUGGGCCAGCCAGGCUCUCCUCACCCUCUUUAACAAACCAGGAGCAGGCAAAGGAGAUGUGCAGGAAGGUGAAGGGAAGCAGGAUGGGGUGAAAUCAGGGUGAGCCCCCACGAGGAGGGAUGCACUGGAUGGGAAUUCAUUCCACAGCUCAGAAAAAGCCCUGCACAAAAUCCUGCCCCUUCCUCACCUGCUGCAGCAUUCCCUGAUGCACAGCUCCCCCUGGCCCAGGAGCUGACUGAGGGCUUUGUUGUUACCCUCUGGCCACUGAGGUGACACAGCCUCUCUGGGUCUGGAGCUGUUUAGGGCCUGGCUGGAAUGGGGUUUCUUUUCCUUUGGCUCCAUUCCAUUCCAUUGGCUCCAGUUAAAGGCCAGUCCCAGCUGCUGUGCUGGGACACUCUGGGCUCUUGAAGGACACACGUAAUUUUCUCAGUUAAG
ensembl:lncRNA